rnacentral:rRNA from 1 species
AUUAGGCAUGCAAGUCGAACGGGAACCUGUUGUUUCAAUUCUUCGGAAAAGAAAUAGCGGGGGAGAGUGGCGGAAGGGUGAGUAAUACGUGGGUAAUUUACCUCGAAGUUGGGGAUAACUCUCCGAAAGGAGAGAUAAUACCGAAUAUGGCCGGGUUUUCGCAUGGAGGCCCAGUCAAAGGUGGGGAUCCUUCGGGACCUGCCGCUUUGAGAGAAGCCCGCGCCCUAUCAGCUUGUUGGUGAGGUAAUGGCUCACCAAGGCUUACGGGUAGCUGGUCUGAGAGGAUGGUCAGCCACACUGGGACUGAGACACUGCCCAGACUCCUACGGGAGGCUGCAGUCGAGGAUCAUUUGCAAUGCGCGCAAGCGUGACAAUGCGACGCCGCGUGGAGGAUGACGGCCUUCGGGUUGUAAACUCCUGUCAUUUGGGAACAACCGCGUGGGGGCGAAUAACCCCUGCGCCUGAUAGUACCAGAAGAGGAAGUCACGGCUAACUCUGUGCCAGCAGCCGCGGUAAUACAGAGGUGGCAAGCGUUGUUCGGAUUCACUGGGCGUAAAGGGUGCGUAGGUGGCUUCGUAUGUCGGAUGUGAAAUCUCACUGCUUAACGGUGAAACUGCAUUCGAAACUGCGGGGCUUGAGUACCGGAGGGGAGAGCGGAAUUGUUGGUGUAGCGGUGAAAUGCGUAGAUAUCAACAAGAACACCGGUGGCGAAGGCGGCUCUCUGGACGGAUACUGACACUGAGGCACGAAAGCUGGGGGAGCAAACAGGAUUAGAUACCCUGGUAGUCCCAGCUGUAAACGGUGUGCACUAGGUGUGGGGGGAGUUGAUCCUCUCCGUGCUGAAGCUAACGCGUUAAGUGCACCGCCUGGGGAGUACGGCCGCAAGGCUAAAACUCAAAGAAAUUGACGGGGGCCCCCACAAGCGGAGGAGCAUGUGGCUUAAUUCGAUGCAACGCGAAGAACCUUACCUGGGCUUGACAUGCAACUGCAGUCCCGGUGAAAAUCGGGAUGCCUUCGAGGGUGUUGCACAGGUGCUGCAUGGCUGUCGUCAGUUCGUGCCGUGAGGUGUUGGGUUAAGUCCCGCAACGAACGCGACCCUUAUGUUUAGUUGCCAUCAUCGGUGAUGAGCCGGUGAGCACUCUAAACAGACUGCCCGUGAUAAGCGGGAGGAAGGUGGGGAUGACGUCAAGUCCGUAUGGCCUUUAUGCCCAGGGCUGCACAC